UAAACGACUCUCGGCAACGGAUAUCUCGGCUCACGCAUCGAUGAAGAACGUAGCAAAAUGCGAUACUUGGUGUGAAUUGCAGAAUCCCGUGAACCAUCGAGUUUUUGAACGCAAGUUGCGCCCGAAGCCUUUUGGCUAAGGGCACGUCUGCCUGGGCGUCACGC
rnacentral:rRNA from 1 species